UCCAUUUUUUUGUUUUGUUUUAAUGGCGAAACGUCUUUCCCAGAAAGAUUCGUAGUAUAACAUUUCAUCUUGAUGCUGCAUUUCUCGUCUCCAAGUGUUUCUUGGAGACGAGAAUUCAGUGUUUUGUCUUUCUGGGAAGGAUUUUAUAUCAUUUUGCUGAUGACGGAAUUGCUGGAAUUAGCUGUUGUGUGGGAAUAGUCGUUCUUAUGUUGGUCUGAGACAAACUUGCAACUAGAAAGGCAAUGCAACUUUUUUCUUGGUCCUUCCCGCCCAUGUCAAGCCCCUAGGAGGGGGACCUCUAGGAGGGGGCCCUGUAGGAGGAGGGCCCCCUGGACUUGCUAUAUAUUCUCACUACAGUCCCCUCCUCGUCAGAAGCACUCCAGCAGGACUCUGGAAUCAUUGAAGGAACUGUUCUGGGUCUGAGCCUUCACCAUGAGACUUUUUACUUUUAGUGUGGCCUUACUGCUGGCUUUGGUUGUGUUGCUGAAGCCAGCUGCAGCCUUCCCCGAGCCGGAUGCUGACCCAGGUCCUCUGGCUGACCCCCACAGGUGGGGAGGUGGAUGGGGAGGUGGUGGUUGGGGAGGUGGAUGGGGAGGUGGUUGGGGUAGGGGUCGAUGGGGUGGUGGUGGGUGGGGAUGGGGGCGCUGAGCCCCAUUGCCCUCAACCCACACACCAUCAACUCACUGCAUAAGGAGAUCACCACUACCCCAGCAAGGUCCAAGGAUCAAGAGCCAGACGAUAUACAGCAACCCUUACUAGCACCUAUAUUCUGAUACUGCUAUUUUCUGACACCACUAUGUGUCGACACUACUAAGUGUCGACACAAGUGUAUUCUGUAUACAGUAACUACUAAGCUAUACUGACAUUGUGCUGCACUUUUGAUAACUCCCUUAUUAAAAAAUGUCGUUGGACUAAAAAAAAUAAAAUAAUUGUGAA